rnacentral:rRNA from 1 species
GACAGAGGUGCCGAGCGUUAGGCGGAAUCACUGGGCUUAAAGCGCGUGUAGGUGGCGGCCUAAGUACCUUGUGAAAUCCUGCGGCUCAACCGCAGAACUGCUUGGUAUACUGGGUCGCUUGAGUCAUCCAGGGGCAACUGGAACAAGCGGUGGAGCGGUGAAAUGCGUAGAUAUCGCGUGGAACGCCAAAGGUGAAAACAGGUUGCUGGGGAUGUUCUGACACUGAGACGCGAAAGCCAGGGGAGCGAACGGG